GGCCGCAGUAUCCUAACUGUGCAAAGGUAGCAUAAUCAUUAGUCUUUUAAUUGAAGGCUGGAAUGAAUGGUUGGACGAGGAAUAUACUGUUUCAUUUAAAUUUAUUAUAGAAUUUUAUUUUUUAGUUAAAAAGCUAAAAUAUUAUUAAAAGACGAGAAGACCCUAUAAAUCUUUAUAUUUAUUUAUUUUUAAAUUUUUUUGAUAUAUUUUGUUUUUAAAUAAAUAAAUAUUUUGUUGGGGUGAUGUUAAAAUUUAAUGAACUUUUAAUUAAAAAAUCAUUUAUUUAUGAUUUAUUGAUCUUUUAAUAAUGAUUAUAAGAUUAAGUUACUUUAGGGAUAACA
rnacentral:rRNA from 1 species